CUCACCCCAUUGUUCUCUCCCACUGGCUCAGAUCCAAAACAUUUCGCCUCUGUGAAAAAAGAAAAUGAUCCAUCGUUUGUUUUUCUAGCCUUUUAUUGUUAGACAUGGAACACGCAGGGAAGAUGAAUAAUAGAUUUCGGGUGUUUCUUUUUAGGGCGUAUUUUGUUCCUCCCGUUAAUCUUGGGGAUGUUUUCCCUGAUUUUGGUCUUUGAUUUCUGUACCAGGUUAGAUGAAUUAGUGCUUUGUGAUUUUGAUAUUUUUGGGAAAACAACAAUCAGUUUACAGAUCUGUUUUAGAACUAGGAAUUGGUCUUUUGGUUUACUCCCUGGUGAUCUCAAUUUUGACCUAAUUUCUAGGGUGACCUGCUACACGCAAUUGUUCAGAAGAAAAUUUAUAUGGAAAUUUGAACCCCUGCUAGAAAAGGGGAUGCUGUCGUGUCUUAACAAUUUGACAUUUGCCCCAGAAAAAAAAAAGUUCCGCCUCGCCCAGAAUGACUACCGCGCGUGCGUACUUUAACUGGAAUACCGAUAUUACUCCACUUGAAACUACCAGUGCGUCGAUUCCUCGCCACAAGUUCAAUUUCACUGAGAUUGAGAACCUUGCAGCUGCUACCACCAACACUUAUCUUACUGAUGUUGUAGGUGUGUUGACCAGCCACACAAACUUGCAACAGAUUAAGCGAAGUUCUGGAAACACAUGUUUCAUGCGUGAACUAACACUGGAAAACUUAAGUGGUAUGAAGCUUAAGGUCACACUAUGGGGUGAUUCCACUUCUGAGCUUACCAGGAACCUUGAAGCGCAUGAAAUUAAUCCACAACCUGUUGUGGCUGUUGUUGAUGGUGUCUAUGUCAAGCAAUAUCUAGGCAAGGCGUCGCUCUCUUCAACUAAUGCGACUAAAAUUUACUUUGACCUCGAUAUUCCAGAGGUCUUGCAUAUUAGAGAAAGGUCUUCCCACCGUACACCGCCACUCGAAAUCACAAUCCCGGCGAGAGUUGGUUACAAUCAGGAAGCUUAAUCCAUUGGCGACACUAGAAUGUCAAUUUCCCAAUUGCUGGAAACAAUCUGGGUACAAUAAAAGUCUGUCGUGCCAAGGCUAUUGGUAUUUCCACUGAGAAAGGAUGGUACUACCUGGGGUGACACAACUGCACAACUAAAUUGGUUGGAAACACAAGGGACCAUUGGUGCCCUAGCUGCAAGGUCCAAAUUGACGAACCGGUUCCCAGAUACCUUCUUAGAUUGGAAGUCGAGGACUCAUCGGGCACCGCAUUUUUUUUUGCCAUGGACAGCGAAGUACAAAAAAUUGUCCAGCUACCAGCUUUGGAUGUUGUGGCAAGGGCGAGGUUGAAGGCUUGGCAACAGUGCAGGCUGCCUUUGAAUCACUCGUUGGUGUCGUCCACGAUUACCUCAUACUAAUAACUCAGUAUAACAUGAAGUAUCUUGAAACCCCAAGCUUCACUGUAGCAAAGUUGCCUUCGCCCCCUCCAGCACCAACUCCAACCAUAUCUGCUCAGGCUAUCGAAAGCAUUCGUCCUGAAGAUGAUCCUGUGGCCGAUAAUGAACCACCUUGCAAGAAACCCUGCCUACAGAAGAUACCCAAUUCUGCGUCGGCAUCCACCAUUGCUGAAGAUUAAGCACUAUCAAGACACGCAUCUUUGUUGGUUUUAGGAUUCAAAAAAUAAAACAACGGAUAAGAGUCGUCGAUCAUGUUUCUUUCUGUCCCUGCAUUUUGUUUUAGCGUGUUUCCCGUUCUGCAUUUCAUUCUGGUGUGUUUCUCUUAAUGCUUUUGGUUUAGGUGUGAUUUCCAUUUUUAUGGCAUUAUAGUAUUAAUACCUUUUAUCAUAAUUCACAUUGGCAUUGGUGGAUCCUAUUUAUAAACGAAUUUAAAUUUUAUGUAAGCUGCUGUGUAACCGUGCUGAUAUGAUACGAUAUGGAAAUUUAUGUUCCCUUGGUUAA